GGGUGUUGGGAGAACUGGAGAAGAUUGGUUAUUCACCCAACAGCAAUACAGAUCACAAAAGUAUUUUUAUUUUUUAAAUUAAUUUUUAUGUGAGUAUAUUUGAUUUUCAACGUUGUGUUAGUUUCAGCUACAUAGCUGAUUCACUUUGCUGCAGUGUGUGUGUGUGUGUGUGUGUGUGUGUACAUAUAUAUAUAUUCCCCCCUUUUUUGUUUUUCCUUCUCACUUAGGCUUUGAACAUUUUCAGUGACUGGAAUCAAUCUGAGAAAAGUCAUGCACAGACAGAAGACUUUUCAAGAUUUCAAAGACGAGAAAAGGAAGUUUCUGGUGAUGCUUUGGAACAUUCCAUGAGGUCCGCCGUCCAAGCUGACGGAUCCCCAGGACUGGGUUAGGGAGAUCCGAAAGAAGAGGCUCAUGUCCUUUCCCUGUGCCUAACAUCUUUCCCCUGUUUACUCAUUUGGCCAAUUUCCAUUCACUCCAUAGGUCUCAGAGAAGUCUUGUUUGACCUACAGCCUAGGCCAGACCUUUAGGUCUGCACUUUUUUGGGACUCUGUACUUCUCUGUCAUGUAACUCAUCACAAUUAAAAUGUAAACAACCAUUUAUGUGAGUGUUUGCAUUGUGUUCCUGUCCUUUUUCUCCACCAUUCCUUGUAAUACUUGGGUAACGGGAAAGUGUAGUUCACUGCGGGCACUCAA
rnacentral:lncRNA from 1 species